UCUCCGUUGGUGAACCAGCGGAGGGAUCAUUACCGAGUUUACAAACUCCCAAACCCUUUGUGAACCUUACCUAUCGUUGCUUCGGCGGGAUCGCCCCGGCGCCUUCGGGCCCGGAACCAGGCGCCCGCCGGAGGCCCCAAACUCUGUUUUUAUAAUGUUUUUCUGAGUAAACAAGCAAAUAAAUUAAAACUUUCAACAACGGAUCUCUUGGCUCUG
rnacentral:misc_RNA from 1 species